rnacentral:rRNA from 1 species
CAGAUCUAGCUUGCUAGAUGCUGACGAGCGGCGGACGGGUGAGUAAUGCAUAGGAAUCUGCCCGGUAGUGGGGGAUAACCUGGGGAAACCCAGGCUAAUACCGCAUACGUCCUACGGGAGAAAGGGGGCUUCGGCUCCCGCUAUUGGAUGAGCCUAUGUCGGAUUAGCUAGUUGGUGAGGUAAUGGCUCACCAAGGCAACGAUCCGUAGCUGGUCUGAGAGGAUGAUCAGCCACAUCGGGACUGAGACACGGCCCGAACUCCUACGGGAGGCAGCAGUGGGGAAUAUUGGACAAUGGGCGCAAGCCUGAUCCAGCCAUGCCGCGUGUGUGAAGAAGGCCCUCGGGUUGUAAAGCACUUUCAGCGAGGAAGAACGCCUAGUGGUUAAUACCCAUUAGGAAAGACAUCACUCGCAGAAGAAGCACCGGCUAACUCCGUGCCAGCAGCCGCGGUAAUACGGAGGGUGCAAGCGUUAAUCGGAAUUACUGGGCGUAAAGCGCGCGUAGGUGGCUUGAUAAGCCGGUUGUGAAAGCCCCGGGCUCAACCUGGGAACGGCAUCCGGAACUGUCAAGCUAGAGUGCAGGAGAGGAAGGUAGAAUUCCCGGUGUAGCGGUGAAAUGCGUAGAGAUCGGGAGGAAUACCAGUGGCGAAGGCGGCCUUCUGGACUGACACUGACACUGGGGUGCGAAAGCGUGGGUAGCAAACAGGAUUAGAUACCCUGGUAGUCCACGCCGUAAACGAUGUCGACCAGCCGUUGGGUGCCUAGCGCACUUUGUGGCGAAGUUAACGCGAUAAGUCGACCGCCUGGGGAGUACGGCCGCAAGGUUAAAACUCAAAUGAAUUGACGGGGGCCCGCACAAGCGGUGGAGCAUGUGGUUUAAUUCGAUGCAACGCGAAGAACCUUACCUACUCUUGACAUCCU